CAAUAGCGUAUACUAAUGUUGCUGCAGUUAAAAAGCUCGUAGUUGAACUUCUGGUAGGAGUGUCCCGGCCUUUUUGUUUUUACAAAUUGUAUGCUGUGUGACAUCUCUGGCCAUCCUUCUUCUUUGUUUAAAGAAGAUCUUUCACUGUAAAAAAAUUAGGGUGUUCAAAGCAAAAGUUUCUUUGGAAUAUAUUAGUAUGGGAUGAUAAGAUAGGCUCUAGAUGCUAUUUUGUUGGUUUGCACAUUUAGAGAAUGAUUAACAGGGACAGUUGGGGGUAUUCGUAUUUACAUGUCAGAGGUGAAAUUCUUGGAUUUUGGAAAGACGAACUACUGCGAAAGCAUUUACCAAGGAUGUUUUCAUUAA
rnacentral:rRNA from 1 species